UCCGUAGGGGGAACCUGCGGAGGGAUCAUUACAAGUGACCCCGGUCUAACCACCGGGAUGUUCAUAACCCUUUGUUGUCCGACUCUGUUGCCUCCGGGGCGACCCUGCCUUCGGGCGGGGGCUCCGGGUGGACACUUCAAACUCUUGCGUAACUUUGCAGUCUGAGUAAACUUAAUUAAUAAAUUAAAACUUUUAACAACGGAUCUCUUGGUUCUGGCAUCGAUGAAGAACGCAGCGAAAUGCGAUAAGUAAUGUGAAUUGCAGAAUUCAGUGAAUCAUCGAAUCUUUGAACGCACAUUGCGCCCCCUGGUAUUCCGGGGGGCAUGCCUGUUCGAGCGUCAUUUCACCACUCAAGCCUCGCUUGGUAUUGGGCAACGCGGUCCGCCGCGUGCCUCAAAUCGACCGGCUGGGUCUUCUGUCCCCUAAGCGUUGUGGAAACUAUUCGCUAAAGGGUGCUCGGGAGGCUACGCCGUAAAACAAACCCAUUUCUAAGGUGACCUCGGAUCAGGUAGGGAUACCCGCUGAACUUAAGCAUAUCAACAGGCCGGAGGA
rnacentral:rRNA from 1 species